rnacentral:ncRNA from 1 species
CAAUCCGUAGCUGGUUUUAGAGGAUGAACAGCCACACUGGGACUGAGACACGGCCCAGACUCCUACGGGAGGCAGCAGUAAGGAAUAUUGGACAAUGGGCGAAAGCC